AUCGAACGCUGGCGGCAGGCCUAACACAUGCAAGUCGAGCGGAGCGGCGGACGGGUGAGUAAUGCCUAGGAAUCUGCCUGGUAGUGGGGGAUAACGUCCGGAAACGGGCGCUAAUACCGCAUACUAUCAGAUGAGCCUAGGUCGGCUUUGCUAGUUGGAGGGGUAAAGUCCUACCAAGGUGACGAUCCGUAACUGGACUGAGAGGAUGAUCAGUCACACUGGAACUGAGACACGGUCCAGACUCCUACGGGAGGCAGCAGUGGGGAAUAUUAGCCAAUGGGCGAAAGCCUGAUCCAGCCAUGCCGCGUGUGUGAAGAAGGUCUUCGGAUUGUAAAGCUCUUUAGGUUGGGAGGCGUUACCAACAAAAUAAGCACCGGCUAACUUCGUGCCAGCAGCCGCGGUAAUAC
rnacentral:rRNA from 1 species